GCAUAUCAAUAAGCGGAGGAAAAGAAACCAACAGGGAUUGCCCUAGUAACGGCGAGUGAAGCGGCAACAGCUCAAAUUUGAAAUCUGACCUCACGGUCCGAAUUGUAAUUUGUAGAGGAUGUUUCUGGCAAGGUGCCUUCCGAGUUCCCUGGAACGGGACGCCAUAGAGGGUGAGAGCCCCGUACGGUCGGAUGCCGAGCCUGUGUGAAACUCCUUCGACGAGUCGAGUAGUUUGGGAAUGCUGCUCUAAUUGGGAGGUGUACCCCUUCUAAAGCUAAAUAUAGGCCAGAGACCGAUAGCGCACAAGUAGAGUGAUCGAAAGAUGAAAAGCACUUUGAAAAGAGGGUUAAAUAGUACGUGAAAUUGCUGAAAGGGAAGCGCUUGUGAUCAGACUUGCGCCUGGCGGAUCACCCGGUUCCGACCGGGGUACUCCGCCGGCUCAGGCCAGCACCGGUUCGUUUUGGGGGUUAAAGGCUUAGGGAACGUGGCUCUUCGGAGUGUUAUAGCCCUUUGCAUAAUACCCUGGAAUGGACCGAGGUACGCGCUCUGCAAGGGUGCUGGCGUAAUGGUCAUCAGCGGCCCGUCUUGAAACACGGACCAAGGAGUCGUCCUUAUAUGCGAGUGUUUGGGUGUAAAACCCCUACGCGUAAUGAAAGUGAACGGAGGUGAGAGCUUCGGCGCAUCAUCGACCGAUCCUGAUGUCUUCGGAUGGAUUUGAGUAAGAGCAUAUAGGGCCGGACCCGAAAGAAGGUGAACUAUGCGUGUAUAGGGUGAAGCCAGAGGAAACUCUGGUGGAGGCUCGCAGCGGUUCUGACGUGCAAAUCGAUCGUCAAAUAUGCGCAUGGGGGCGAAAGACUAAUCGAACCUUCUAGUAGCUGGUUUCCGCCGAAGUUUCC
rnacentral:rRNA from 1 species